rnacentral:rRNA from 2 species
AUCGAUGAAGAACGCAGCGAAAUGCGAUAAGUAAUGUGAAUUGCAGAAUUCAGUGAAUCAUCGAAUCUUUGAACGCACAUUGCGCCCGCUAGUAUUCUGGCGGGCAUGCCUGUCCGAGCGU